rnacentral:rRNA from 1 species
GAUGAACGCUGGCGGCGUGCCUAAUACAUGCAAGUCGAGCGAAUGGAUUAAGAGCUUGCUCUUAUGAAGUUAGCGGCGGACGGGUGAGUAACACGUGGGUAACCUGCCCAUAAGACUGGGAUAACUCCGGGAAACCGGGGCUAAUACCGGAUAACAUUUUGAACCGCAUGGUGCGAAAUUGAAAGGCGGCUUCGGCUGUCACUUAUGGAUGGACCCGCGUCGCAUUAGCUAGUUGGUGAGGUAACGGCUCACCAAGGCAACGAUGCGUAGCCGACCUGAGAGGGUGAUCGGCCACACUGGGACUGAGACCCGGGCCAGACUCCUACGGGAGGCAGCAGUAGGGAAUCUUCCGCAAUGGACGAAAGUCUGACGGAGCAACGCCGCGUGAGUGAUGAAGGCUUUCGGGUCGUAAAACUCUGUUGUUAGGGAAGAACAAGUGCUAGUUGAAUAAGCUGGCACCUUGACGGUACCUAACCAGAAAGCCACGGCUAACUACGUGCUAGCAGCCGCAGUAA